rnacentral:lncRNA from 1 species
GAGAAACACAAAUUCAAACACCAGAAAGACAGGGCCAUUUCUGGUUUCUGGUAUUGUUACAGAGGAAAAAAGUGACAGGGCCCACUGUGGGGGUUGAGGGGGAGAUACAAGGCAGGCUGGCGCCUGCCGCACUGCUUGUGGGAGUGGAAAUUGGGGGCCAGAGCGCACUGGUGACGUGGCUGUCACGUGACCAAGAGCCGCCUAGAGCACAAGUCCUGCUAGUCGCCUCCGUCUGGGUACCAGCCCCCUAUUACUCUGCAGGCGCGUGAAGAAAGAAGGAAACUAGCUCGGACUGUGCAGGUUUGUAGGUCUGUUGGCCUGUAGGUUUCGGCACAAGUCUCAGCGAGAGAAGGAGAAAACUGCCUUGGUUGGAACCUUGCAGGCUCUAUCCUCUAUCACUGUGGAGGGACCACUGACAACAGAAGACAAGGGAAAACCAAGGAAUUUACCUGACUUUGGUAGAGAUUCAUCACAAGAGAGCUACAAGAGCCUAGAAGAAGCUAAAGACUGCUACCCUCCAUCCUUACUCACCCUGGACCUGAGAGACCUCUUCAAUCAGGAAGAGAUGACAGUGAGAAGCUGGAGGAGGAGGAGGAAGAGGAGUGGGACGAUGACCAGGAGCUGGAAGAGGAGGAGCCUGAUAUUUGGUUUGAUUUUGAAACUAUGGCUCGGCCCUGGAGUGAGGAUGGGGAUUGGACUGAACCUGGGGCCCCAGGUGGCACUGAGGACAGGCCCUCAGGGGGAGGCAAGGCCAACCGAGCACACCCAAUAAAACAGCGGCCAUUCCCCUAUGAACAUAAAAUACUUGGAG